rnacentral:rRNA from 1 species
UCUAAUACCGGAAUAGGACCACAUUACGCAUGUUUUGUGGUGGAAAGCUUUUGCGGUGUGGGAUGGGCCCGCGGCCUAUCAGCUUGUUGGUGGGGUGAUGGCCCACCAAGGCGACGACGGGUAGCCGGCCUGAGAGGGUGUCCGGCCACACUGGGACUGAGAUACGGCCCAGACUCCUACGGGAGGCAGCAGUGGGGAAUAUUGCACAAUGGGCGAAAGCCUGAUGCAGCGACGCCGCGUGGGGGAUGACGGCCUUCGGGUUGUAAACCUCUUUCAGCAGGGACGAAGCGCAAGUGACGGUACCUGCAGAAGAAGCACCGGCCAACUACGUGCCAGCAGCCGCGGUAAUACGUAGGGUGCGAGCGUUGUCCGGAAUUACUGGGCGUAAAGAGCUCGUAGGUGGUUUGUCGCGUUGUUCGUGAAAUCUCACGGCUUAACUGUGAGCGUGCGGGCGAUACGGGCAGACUUGAGUACUGCAGGGGAGACUGGAAUUCCUGGUGUAGCGGUGGAAUGCGCAGAUAUCAGGAGGAACACCGGUGGCGAAGGCGGGUCUCUGGGCAGUAACUGACGCUGAGGAGCGAAAGCGUGGGGAGCGAACAGGAUUAGAUACCCUGGUAGUCCACGCCGUAAACGGUGGGUACUAGGUGUGGGUUUCCUUCCUUGGGAUCCGUGCCGUAGCUAACGCAUUAAGUACCCCGCCUGGGGAGUACGGCCGCAAGGCUAAAACUCAAAGAAAUUGACGGGGGCCCGCACAAGCGGCGGAGCAUGUGGAUUAAUUCGAUGCAACGCGAAGAACCUUAUCCUGGGUUU